rnacentral:rRNA from 1 species
UACGUAGGGGCAAGCGUUGUCCGGAAUCAUUGGGCGUAAAGCGCGUGUAGGCGGUUCGGUAAGUCGGCUGUGAAAGUCCAGGGCUCAACCCUGGGAUGCCGGUCGAUACUGCCGGACUAGAGUUCGGAAGAGGCGAGUGGAAUUCCCGGUGGUAGCGGUGAAUGCGCAGAUAUCGGGAGGAACACCAAUGGCGAAGGCAGCUCGCUGGGACGUUACUGACGCUGAGACGGCGAAAGCGUGGGGAGCGAACCGG